rnacentral:rRNA from 1 species
AACGAACGCUGGCGGCAUGCCUAACACAUGCAAGUCGAACGAGAUCUUCGGGUCUAGUGGCGCACGGGUGCGUAACGCGUGGGAAUCUGCCCUUUGGUUCGGAAUAACAGUUGGAAACGACUGCUAAUACCGGAUGAUGACGAAAGUCCAAAGAUUUAUCGCCAGAGGAUGAGCCCGCGUAGGAUUAGAUAGUUGGUGUGGUAAAGGCGCACCAAGGCGACGAUCCUUAGCUGGUCUGAGAGGAUGAUCAGCCACACUGGGACUGAGACACGGCCCAGACUCGUACGGGAGGCAGCAGUGGGGAAUAUUGGACAAUGGGCGAAAGCCUGAUCCAGCAAUGCCGCGUGAGUGAUGAAGGCCUUAGGGUUGUAAAGCUCUUUUACCCGGGAUGAUAAUGACAGUACCGGGAGAAUAAGCUCCGGCUAACUCCGUGCCAGCAGCCGCCGUAA